CGCUGGCGGCGUGCCUAACACAUGCAAGUCGAGCGAGGACUUCGGUCCUAGCGGCGGACGGGUGAGUAACGCGUGGGAACGUGCCCUUUGGUACGGAAUAGCCCCGGGAAACUGGGAGUAAUACCGUAUGGUGUCUUCGGAACUAAAGAUUUAUCGCCAAAGGAUCGGCCCGCGUUGGAUUAGGUAGUUGGUGGGGUAAUGGCCUACCAAGCCGACGAUCCAUAGCUGGUCUGAGAGGAUGAUCAGCCACACUGGGACUGAGACACGGCCCAGACUCCUACGGGAGGCAGCAGUGGGGAAUAUUGGACAAUGGGCGAAAGCCUGAUCCAGCAAUGCCGCGUGAGUGAUGAAGGCCUUAGGGUUGUAAAGCUCUUUUACCAGGGAUGAUAAUGACAGUACCUGGAGAAUAAGCUCCGGCUAACUCCGUG
rnacentral:rRNA from 1 species